rnacentral:rRNA from 1 species
CCUACGGGAGGCAGCAGUGGGGAAUAUUGCACAAUGGGGGAAACCCUGAUGCAGCAACGCCGCGUGAGUGAAGAAGUAUUUCGGUAUGUAAACUUCUGUCAGCAGGGAAGAAAAUGACGGUACCUGACUAAGAAGCCCCGGCUAACUACGUGCCAGCAGCCGAGGUAAUACGUCGGGGGCAAGCGUUAUCCGGAUUUACUGGGUGUAAAGGGAGCGUAGGCGGUUUAGCAAGUCAGAAGUGAAAGCCCCGGGAUCAACUCGGGGGCUGCUUUUGCAACUGUUGAACUAGAGUGCAGGAGAGGGAAGUGGAAUUCCUAGUGGAGCGGUGAAAUGCGUAGAUAUUAGGAGGAACACCAGUGGCGAAGGCGACUUACUGGACUGUAAAUGACGCUGAGGCUCGAAAGCGUGGGGAGCAAACAGGAUUAGAUACCCGAGUAGUC